rnacentral:tRNA from 1 species
GUCCCCAUCGUCUAGCGGCCUAGGACACUGCCCUUUCAAGGCAGCAGCGCGGGUUCGAAUCCCGUUGGGGAUGCCA